UAAGGAAUAUUGGGCAAUGCCCGCAAGGGUGACCCAGCAACGCCGCGUGGAGGAUGAAUGUCGUAAGAUUGUAAACUCCUGUUAGAGGGGAAGAAUAGUACCGGUUGGACCGGUAUAUGACUGUACCCUCAGAGAAAGCCCCGGCUAACUACGUGCCAGCAGCCGCGGUAAUACGUAGGGGGCAAGCGUUGUCCGGAUUUACUGGGUGUAAAGGGCGCGCAGGCGGGAUAAAAAGUCAGUGGUGAAAUCCUACAGCUUAACUGUAGAACUGCCUUUGAUACUUUUAUUCUUGAGUUCGGGAGAGAGAGACGGAAUUCCGGGUGUAGUGGUGAAAUACGUAGAUAUCUGGAAGAACACCAGUUGCGAAGGCGGUCUCUUGGUCCGACACUGACGCUGAGGCGCGAAAGCGUGGGGAGCAAACA
rnacentral:rRNA from 1 species